rnacentral:tRNA from 1 species
GCGCCGUAGGUCAGGACGACGGCCAUCUGCAGGAUGGUCUUCACGCGGUCGCGGAUCGAGUCCGCGGUGGCACC